rnacentral:rRNA from 1 species
AACCGGAUUAGAUACCCUGGUAGUCCACGCCGUAAACGAUGUCGACUUGGAGGUUGUGCCCUUGAGGCGUGGCUUCCGGAGCUAACGCGUUAAGUCGACCGCCUGGGGAGUACGGCCGCAAGGUUAAAACUCAAAUGAAUUGACGGGGGCCCGCACAAGCGGUGGAGCAUGUGGUUUAAUUCGAUGCAACGCGAAGAACCUACCUACUCUUGACAUCCAGAGAACUUAGCAGAGAUGCUUUGGUGCCUUCGGGAACUCUGAGACAGGUGCUGCAUGGCUGUCGUCAGCUCGUGUUGUGAAAUGUUGGGUUAAGUCCCGCAACGAGCGCAACCCUUAUCCUUUGUUGCCAGCGGUUAGGCCGGGAACUCAAAGGAGACUGCCAGUGAUAAA